rnacentral:rRNA from 1 species
GACAGAGGGGGCAAGCGUUGCUCGGAAUCACUGGGCGUAAAGGGCGCGUAGGCGGGAUGGCAAGUCGGUCGUGAAAUCCUUCGGCUCAACCGAAGAACGUCGGCCGAUACUGCUGUUCUUGAGGGAUGCAGAGGAGAUUGGAAUUCCCGGUGUAGCGGUGAAAUGCGUAGAGAUUGGAAAGAACACCGAUGGCGAAGGCACUUUACUGGGCUAUUACUAACACUCAGAGACGAAAGCUAGGGUAGCAAAUGGG